CAUGUAGGUGGUUUCGUUAGUUUGGCGUGAAAGCCCAGGACUUAAUCCUGGAAGUGCGUCGAAUACUGCGAGACUAGAGUACAGGAGGGGAGAACGGAAUUCCUGGUGUAGAGGUGAAAUUCGUAGAUAUCAGGAGGAACAACAGUGGCGAAGGCGGUUCUCUGGACUGUAACUGACGCUGAGAUGCGAAAGUGUGGGGAGCAAACAG
rnacentral:rRNA from 1 species